ACAGCCAACAGGUGUAGAGAAAGGUGCUGC
rnacentral:piRNA from 1 species